UACGGGGGGGGCAAGCGUUGUUCGGAAUUACUGGGCGUAAAGGGCUCGUAGGCGGAGGGGCAAGUCUGCUGUGAAAGCGCCUGGCUUAACCGGGCGAGGUCGGUGGAAACUGCUCUUCUUGAGGUCAGUAGAGGCGGAUGGAAUUCCCGGUGUAGUGGUGAAAUGCGUAGAUAUCAAGAGGAACACCUGAGGUGAAGACGGGUUGCUGGGCUGACACUGACGCUGAGGAGCGAAAGCGUGGGGAGCGAACAGG
rnacentral:rRNA from 1 species